CGCCCUUACGGGAGGCAGCAGCAAGGCAUUUUCCCCAAUGGGCGCAAGCUCGAGGGAGCAACGCCGCGUGGAGGCCGAGCGACCUUCGGGUUGUAAACUCCUUUCGGGGGGGACGACCGCGACGGUACCACCAGAAGCAGCCCCGGCUAACUCUGUGCCAGCAGCCGCGGUAAGACAGAGGGGGCAAGCGUUGUCCGGAGUUACUGGGCGUAAAGGGCGCGGAGGCGGUCUGCGGCGUCGGCGCUGAAAGCCCGCUUAACGGGGCGAGGCGUGCCGAUACGCGCAGACUUGAGGCGAGCAGAGGGUGGUAGAAUUCCGUGUGGAGCGGUGAAAUGCGUAGAGAUCCGGAGAACGGCAGUGUGGGAAGCCGGCCACCUGGGCUCGUCCUGACGCCGCGGCGCGACAGCUGGGGUAGCAAACCCCUAUUAGAUACCCCGGAUAGUUCCACGCCGUAAACGUGUGCCCAGCUCGCCGUGGUGGCGCACUGUUUGUUGCGUU
rnacentral:rRNA from 1 species